AGCGAACGCUGGCGGCAGGCCUAACACAUGCAAGUCGAACGGAUCCUUCGGGAUUAGUGGCGUACGGGUGAGUAACACGUGGGAACGUUCCCUUUGGUUCGGAACAACUCAGGGAAACUUGAGCUAAUACCGGAUGUGCCCUUCUGGGGAAAGAUUUAUCGCCAUUGGAGCGUCCCGCGUCUGAUUAGCUAGUUGUUGAGGUAACGGCCCACCAAGGCGACGAUCAGUAGCUGGUCUGAGAGGAUGAUCAGCCACACUGGGACUGAGACACGGCCCAGACUCCUACGGGAGGCAGCAGUGGGGAAUCUUGCGAAAUGGGCGAAAGGAUGACGCAGCCAGGACGCGUGAAUGAUGAAGGUCUUAGGAUUGUAAAAUUCUUUCAGCGGGGAAGAUAAUGACGGUACCCGCAGAAGAAGCUCCGGCUAACUUCGUG
rnacentral:rRNA from 1 species